AUUAUUAGUUUAUUAAAAUGUUGAAUACGUGUGUACGAGAUCAAGCAGCUCAUUGCUUAUCUGCGAUUAUAAAACAAUAAACAACUUUCAGAUUUGAAUUCAGAGAUAGAUAAAGUGCAAUGCUAAAAAUAUCGACUUCUGUUUUUUUUUUUUUUUUUUUUUUGUUCUAGAUAAAUGAAACCUGGCAAUUCAUAGAUUACAACCUACUGUUACUGGCUUCAAAAUUAUAUCAAUUGAAAAGUAGAGAGAAUUUCGAAUCUUUUGAGCUCUUUAUUUUUGAAAACCACAUCAACUUUGCAGGCGAAAUUUUUUUUUGAAAAUUGCAGUUUUUGCCCAAAAAAGGACACUUUAAAAUUGCAAAAAUUCAAAAGUGGCCACCCAAAGUACUCAAGAGUGGCUACUUGAAACACAUACCUACCCCAUUUUUGACCCACUGAAGAGAUUGAAAACGGUUUCGAACAGUUUUUGAGUUGAAGUUCUCCCCGACCGAUUUCACAUUUUUUGGGGAACCGAGAUUUCCAAAAUAUUAUUGGAGGCUCUAAAGUGACCUAAUACUAUUUUCAGUGAACUCGGUAUGUUGAAAUAUUAGAGCAUGAAGUAAAUUUUAGCUUUGCAACUUCUUCAUACAUAUUAAAAUUUUGCGAAAAUUUCAGCUUUCAACAUUAGCUGGAGGUUCCAAAACUGCUCAAGACUGUUCUAAACCGUUUCCAUUUAAUUCGAAGAAUCGAAAAUAGUGUACAUGCCAAAUUUAAACAUUCUAGAUCAACGUGGUAAAAUUUUGAAUCUUUAAAAAUUUUUUUUGGUCCAAAUAUUUGAUCAUUGAAAAUUCAUCAAAAAUCGAAAAAUGCACUUUAGCUCCAGGAAGUUUUGACUGAUGGCGUAUUUUCGCAUGCUCUUUAAUUUUAUCUUGUUCGGUUCAAAACUUUUUUUUGCCUGUUGCAGGGAUACCCGCUGUAUACUGAAAAUGAUUUCAGACCAGGUGGCCAGUUUUGGAUAAAAUAGAAAAAUUUAUUCUAAACCUGGUCUCCAAAACCAGUCGGUCUAUUUACUAUAGUUUACUUGAUGUAUGGUAAGUAUGUACAGGUUAAAAAAAUAACGCGAACGUUAUCAAGCAAAUUACCUAUCUAAUAAGAGAAUAAUCGAUGAACGUGGACGAAAAAUUUAAAAAUUGAAGUACCCUGAUAAUAUCUACCACGCAAAAAUUUGAAAAUUGUUAUUGCUUUUAUAUCGCAGAUAAAUAUGAGAGCCGCUGAAUCAUACAACGCUUUCGUAAAUUUCAUAUUUAGAUACGCAGGCACUUGAUAAAUAGUUUAUUAUUUCAAAUUUUCAAACUUGCAGUUUCGCUCGUACAUAAAUUCAAUUCAGAAUAAAUUCUAUUGUUACCUACUAUCUACCUACCUUCGCAGCCAUAAGUCACCUGGGUCAACUGCAGUCACGUAUUCAGAAAGAACCCUGAUUAUUAAUCAAGGUGGUCGAAGCAGUGAAAAAUAGGUACCUACAUGGCAUCAGGAAAAAAUCGCCAAGAUCAAUCUUGUCCAGGCCAGGCGGACAGACAGACAACCUUUGGAAGCCAGACGGUAGGGUCAAUGACCUUAAGAGGCCAGACGAGCAGACAGACGACUGUGGGAAGCCAGACAGACAAGUCAAUGAGUUUAAGAAGCCAGACGGCCAAACAGACGACAUUGAGAGGCCAGACAGACGGGUCAAUGACCUUAAGUGGCUGGACGCCUUCAUUUCAAAGAUAGGAAUAAGCAUUGAAAAGAAUUUUUAUUUUUUUCAAUUUUUCACUAUUUCUAGAGACAAGUUCCCAGUAUGAGAUCGAUUUUUGGACAUUUAGGAAAAUUUUGGGGCUACUUUUUGAUUAAGAAUGGGUUUUUUAAAAGAUUUAAGAUGCUUCGUUAAGUACUUCUUUUUCUAUAUUGAUAAGGGAUUUUGAAAAAAGGACAAGACCAUUUUGUCUCAUAUUCAAGUAGGUAGCCUACACAUUUUAUAUCAUGCGAUGUACCAACGAUUUCGUUUUUCAAAAUUUGUAGGUGAAAUUAUCAUACCUAAAACAACGUUGCCUUCAAACAAGGUGUGUUUUAAAAUAGGGUACUGUUCGUUUAUUAUCAUAAAAUAAUGCUACCUAAGAAAGCACGUGUAGAAUUACUUAUUUACUACCUACCUCAGCCUUUACGUUGCGUAAGUUUCUCUCAAUUUUUGUGGAAAAUUUAUUUGUAGGUACCUAUCAACUUAUUUUUCUACGAUAAAUUACACACACACAUACCUACUUUACAAUGAAUAUGAAACUGUAAUUUUCCACCAACAUUUUGAAAUAAAAUCAUGGGAUCAUCAAACUGG